rnacentral:misc_RNA from 1 species
GUGCCAGCCUGCUGGUACUCCUAUCUUGCCUUGCAUUGGCAUCCAUCCAUGACAGCACCUCGAGGAUGCAGCUGAUCCUCGGGGGCAUGCAAGCAUGGCCGGGCGCGUCUGCAUGGAAACCUUGUGUUUCGAGUCGGAACUGUGUGUUAUUUGCUCCCUAGUGACGUGACGCUUGUUGAGUCGUUUCUGCUCUGCGUUGGCUGGCCCCUGCCUGUG